AGUAGCGAACGGGUGAGUAACGCGUGGGUAACCUACCUAUCAGCGGGGGAUAACUAUUGGAAACGAUAGCUAAUACCGCAUAACAAUGUUGGAUGCAUAUUCGACAUUUGAAAGUACCAACUGGUACACUGAGAGAUGGACCCGCGUUGUAUUAGCUAGUUGGUAGUGUAAUGGACUACCAAGGCGAUGAUACAUAGCCGACCUGAGAGGGUGAUCGGCCACAUUGGGACUGAGACACGGCCCAAACUCCUACGGGAGGCAGCAGUAGGGAAUCUUCGGCAAUGGACGAAAGUCUGACCGAGCAACGCCGCGUGAGUGAAGAAGGUUUUCGGAUCGUAAAACUCUGUUGUUAGAGAAGAACGUUGCAUAGAGUGGAAAAUUAUGCAAGUGACGGUAUCUAACCAGAAAGGGACGGCUAACUACGUGCCAGCAGCCGCGGUAAUACGUAGGUCCCGAGCGUUGUCCGGAUUUAUUGGGCGUAAAGCGAGCGCAGGUGGUUUAAUAAGUCUGAUGUAAAAGGCAGUGGCUCAACCAUUGUGUGCAUUGGAAACUGUUAGACUUGAGUGCAGUAGAGGAGAGUGGAAUUCCAUGUGUAGCGGUGAAAUGCGUAGAUAUAUGGAGGAACACCGGUGGCGAAAGCGGCUCUCUGGACUGUCACUGACACUGAGGCUCGAAAGCGUGGGUAGCAAACAGGAUUAGAUACCCUGGUAGUCCACGCCGUAAACGAUGAGUGCUAGUUGUUUGGGGCUAUCCAGCCCUAAGUGACGCAGCAAACGCAUUAAGCACUCCGCCUGGGGGAGUACGACCGCAAGGUUGAAACUCAAAGGAAUUGACGGGGGCCCGCACAAGCGGUGGAGCAUGUGGUUUAAUUCGAAGCA
rnacentral:rRNA from 1 species